GCCAGUUUAAGCUGGUGUUAAGGUAGACAAGCAGACUGGUUAAGACCACCAAGACUAAAUGAAGUUGUUUGUCACGGACAUCUUAGGAGGAAGAGAAUACAGAUACCAGACAUUUUCUUUACUAAAAUGGACAGGUUUUGUUUUCUUUUUUCCUUUUAAACGAUUUUUUAUGUAGAAGAAAUUUGAAAAUUUGGAGGCAGCACCAGCUUUUUUUUAAAUGAAGAAUGGUGUAUAUGAACUGAGUCUGUCUGCAUGAUGCAGCUCUGAUGUUUCUUGGGUGAAGAAAAUCUACUUUGGGUCCCAAUGCGACUGACAAGGACUGUGAAAGAACAAUAUGAACCCCAAGAUGAUUCUCUUACUCCUGAUGAUUGAGACCGGGAUAAGUAUACCCUUGUAGGCCAAAGUCUAUCGAAUUAUCUGAAAGGGGAACUGGUCGCAGAAGCUGGAAAGGUUGCAGACGAAGCUACAGAUACAAAUCCUGAACCUUAUUGGAACCAGAGUGGAACCAGUGACCCUUGGAGACUUCACCUCUUGACUUACCUCUGCAUUUUUCUCACUUCAAAGAAUGGGUGGGGGUGGCUCUGUUUAGCGCAGCCCUGUGUUGUGGAUUAGUGCUUAUACUAUGACUGGUUUGCAAACUCAGAUCUCAGCAGAAACGUGACAAGGUGG
ensembl:processed_transcript